ensembl:lncRNA
CCAUAUAUGAAUAAUUUUCUGUAAAAUCAACAGUUUUCAAACGUAAGAAGGGAAAAAACCCGACACAUCCCAUGAUGGUCCUGACUCCUCACCAUGUUUGCUUGGCCAUGUCCAGCUGGUACUGCCGCGCGAGCUCGUCCAGAUGUCCGUGCAGCAUGGGCUGCAUCUCGUCUCGAGGGGACGGAGUCAGCGUCGCCGUGGACUGCUUCCCGAAGGACAUGGCUGCCGGAGAUGACGCCACACCGCGGACGGGUGGAGUUGGCACACGCUCCUCCUCUUCCUCCAGCUCAUCCUCCAGUCCCUGGUGUAGGAGGUCUUAUCGGGUAGUGAGUAGCCCAGGUUGGUCAUUUCCUGUUUGGCCUGCAGCGAGCUCUUCCACUGGGCCUCGGGCAGAUCCACCGCCAGCUCGUGGAUGCUGUUGGAGUGGAGGAUCUGCGUGGUGGCGUACGGAGUGGCCUGCGACGCCGGGCUCGCGCUGCCAAAUCCUGCCUUAGUCGUGAAGUCGAUGCUGCUGUAGAUGGCGCCGUCAGACAUCAUGGUACCCGUUUUAUCCGUCUGACCGGCAGGCAUGACGUCUG